GAUGAACGCUGGCGGCGUGCCUAAUACAUGCAAGUCGAGCGAACAGACGAGGAGCUUGCUCCUCUGACGUUAGCGGCGGACGGGUGAGUAACACGUGGAUAACCUACCUAUAAGACUGGGAUAAUUUCGGGAAACCGGAGCUAGUACCGGAUAAUAUAUUGAACCGCAUGGUUCAAUAGUGAAAGACGGUUUUGCUGUCACUUAUAGAUGGAUCCGCGCCGCAUUAGCUAGUUGGUAAGGUAACGGCUUACCAAGGCAACGAUGCGUAGCCGACCUGAGAGGGUGAUCGGCCACACUGGAACUGAGACACGGUCCAGACUCCUACGGGAGGCAGCAGUAGGGAAUCUUCCGCAAUGGGCGAAAGCUUGACGGAGCAACGCCGCGUGAGUGAUGAAGGUCUUCGGAUCGUAAAACUCUGUUAUUAGGGAAGAACAAAUGUGUAAGUAACUAUGCACGUCUUGACGGUACCUAAUCAGAAAGCCACGGCUAACUACGUG
rnacentral:rRNA from 1 species